rnacentral:rRNA from 1 species
AAUGCGUAGGAAUCUACCUAGUAGUACGGAAUAGCCAUUAGAAAUGGUGGGUAAUACUGUAUAAUCCCCGAGGGGGAAAGAUUUAUCGCUAUUAGAUGAGCCUACGUUAGAUUAGCUAGUUGGUGAGGUAAUGGCUUACCAAGGCUAUGAUCUAUAGCUGGUCUGAGAGGACGAUCAUCCACACUGGACCUGAGAUACGGUCCAGACUCCUACUGGAGGCAGCAUUGGGGAAUAUUGGACCAUGGGCGAAAGCCUGAUCCUGCUAUGCCGAGGGAGUGAAGAAGGCCUCCAGUUGUACAACUCUUUC